rnacentral:misc_RNA from 1 species
GAUGAAGAACGUAGCAAAAUGCGAUAAGUAAUGUGAAUUGCAGAAUUCAGUGAAUCAUCGAAUCUUUGAACGCACAUUGCGCCCGCCAGUAUUCUGGCGGGCAUGCCUGUUCGAGCGUCAUUUCAACCCUCAAGCACAGCUUGGUGUUGGGACUCGCGUUAAUUCGCGUUCCCCAAAUUGAUUGGCGGUCACGUCGAGCUUCCAUAGCGUAGUAGUAAAACCCUCGUUACUGGUAAUCGUCGCGGCCACGCCGUUAAACCCCAACUUCUGAAUGUUGACCUCGGAUCAGGUAGGAAUACCCGCUGAACUUAAGCAUAUCGAUAAGCGGAGGA